GCGCGCACCAGGCGGCAGGCGGCAGCGCAGGCCCGGGAGGCCGGGGAGCGCGAACGGCGCGAUCUCAUCGCUCGGGUCGCGCUCGAGGAGCGCGUAC
rnacentral:tRNA from 1 species